UGAAGAUAAUCGAUGUUGGUUGCGGUGUUGGUGGACCGAUGCGGGCAAUCGCAGCCCAUUCCACCGCAAACGUCGUUGGAAUAACCAUCAACGAAUACCAGGUGGGUAGAGCCAAAGCGCAUAACAAAAAAGCCGGACUCGACUCCACCUGCGACGUCGUCUGCGGGAACUUCUUGGAAAUGCCGUUCGAGAACAACACCUUCGACGGCGCUUACUCCAUCGAAGCAACUUGCCAUGCUCCCAAAUUGGAAGAUGUUUACAGGGAGAUCUAUAGGGUUAUGAAGCCCGGAGCUUUGUACGUCUCCUACGAAUGGGUCACAACCGAUAAAUACCACGAUGACAAUCCGGAGCACGUCGAGGUCAUCCAAGGGAUCGAGAGAGGUGAUGCUUUGCCUGGACUGCGGAGACAAGACGAGAUUGCGGAGCUGGCGACGAAAGCUGGAUUUGAGGUCGUGGAGGAGAAGGACUUGGCGAGUCCGCCAGCCGGAGCAUGGUGGACCAGGUUAAAGAUGGGUAGACUCGCUUACUGGAGGAAUCAUCUCUUAGUCAUGGUGCUCACCUUCUUCGGCGUCGCUCCUAAAGGUACCGUGGAGGUCCACGAGAUGCUCUUCGACACCGCCGCUCAUCUCAGCCGCGGCGGUGAGACCGGGAUCUUCACUCCAAUGCACAUGAUCCUUUGCAGGAAGCCGAUCACCUGAUUGAUUGAUCUCUCUUUGAGAGAGAGAAAAAAACAUCUUUUUUAUGUUUUUGUUUAUCCGUCUGUGACUGCGCUGCGGAUCACGUUUGAAUAAGUUUUUGUUUGUUGUUUAGGUAAGAAUUGCUUAGUCAAUUUUGCUGUUAAAUGGAAGAUCAUUGAUGGGUUUUUAAUUUCAUUUCUUAUUCCCUACUAUUACAACUGUAACAGAACUCAAUCGGCCUAAGAUUUAACUUUUUUUUUUACAAAGAUUUGCAGAGCGCAAGGACUGUCAACCAUGAUAAGGGAGGAAUUUCAAUAAUAUAAAUAUCAGGAUGGUUUAUUUCACAUGGUAUCAGACCACAGACGCCGGAAUAGAGUAUUACAAUUCCUGUUUGGCUUGAAUGAAUGAUUUAUACCAAUAAGUGAACAGUUGCUCUCAUCUAGUCUAGUGAAGGUUUGCCAAGUUUAAGCAAAGUUUUCGCAUUAAUUUAAAAAGAUGAGAAACAUACAAGUUUUCACAAGAGGAAAAUUGCUGAGGUGGGCCAGUGUAUACUAUGUUCAAUCAGAUCAGUCAAAGAAAAGUAAUCAUCAGAAAAAUCAGAUUACCAAGAAUAACAGUAAACCUUAUUUUGAAUUUUGUAUAAAUGAGAGAAAAUUGAACAUAACUUGUGGUGUGAACAUUGUCAAAGGCAUGUUUGUUAUAAAUUGGUUGGGUAUCCUAAGAGAAAUAAAUAUGAGAACAAAGACAAAGGGAAGACCCCAGAAAUGGCUCUUCAAGAGAUGAUUAAACAGUCAUCCUCAUGUAUGAAUCUAUGUGUUUAAUGUAAAUGUUUCAAAUUCAAUAAAUUACAUAGAUGAAUUUCGAAUAUUAUUAAAUACAGGCGCAUCAACUCAUAUGUUAGAAAAUAAGAGAUUAUUUCAUAGAUUAUGAAAAUCAAAUAAUCAGAUUACCUAAUGGCAUGUUUAAGAAAAUAAAUAGGAUAGGUGAUGUUAAAAUUAGUAAUGAAAUCUAAAAGACAUAUAUUAUGUUUCUGAAUUUUCAGUAAAUUUUAUUUCGAUUGUACAAUCAGUUAAGACCGAUGAGUAUAAUGUUAUCUUCAAUGUUAAAUCUUAUAUUAUUCAGGAAAAAAAUUUCAACUAACAGAUCAGGAGUUUAUAAUCUUAUCUUCAAUGUCAAAAAAGGAAAGAGAGUUUAUAUUUUUUUACAAAAACAAAUCACUAAUGUUAAUGUAGUACAUUAAAUACAUGACAUAGUAGAUUGAACACAUGUUCCUAAAUAUAGGCUUUUUACCCAGCACCCAGGACGGGGAGAAUUUUUUUACCCCAAGUAGGAAAAUCCUUGUCCCCGACCGAAAUCCCCGGUCAUUUUCGGGUACGAGGAUGGAGAUUGAAAUCCUCGCCUCGGAUAAUCCCCGGACCCGAAAAAAAUUGCAUAUAACCCUUAUAUAAUAUAAUUUAUAUAAAUAACCCUAUAUAAUAUAUAAAAUAAAUAAAUUUAUAUUUAAAAUAUAUUAGAUAUCCAUACAAAAAUUAUAUUUAACCACUAUAAAAGUGAUAAAAUAUAAUAAUAUAACAUAAAAAUCAUUACUAAAUUAUUAUCUAUUAAUAUUUGAAUUAUUUAAUUUUUAACUAUUUAGACUAUUUACAUUUAAAUCAAUAUUUUAAUUACAUUAGUAAAUAGUAACAUUGGUACUUAAAACAAAUUAAAAAUAAAAUAAUAUUUUGAUCAGGGAUCCCCGACGCUGUACCCGGCCCGAGGAAGAUUUUUGGGACUGGGGAUUUCCCCGUACCCGGUCAUUAACGAGGAAUGUAAUCCCUGCGUCAUUAAAUUUUUUAAAACAAUUUAACAUUACAUUUAAGAUUAUCUAAUCAGAUAAUGAAGGUGAAAUUUGUAAAUGAAAAAUUAAAGACAUUAUUUUCCAAACUUGAAAUCACUCAUAUACUCACAACAAAGUUUAAACAUGAAGCAAUAAGAUUUCAAAGGAGCCUAACUCAACCCGGUGGAAACGUCUACUACGCCGCCAUGUGUAGAGCUGACGUGGAAUGGAAAACCACGUGAUAUUAUUAUUUUUAAUGUAAAAUACACCUGUCUCGGCAGUUCCGUCCUCCGGUCACAUGGGAAAAAAAAAUCAUAUGAAAUCAUUGAAAUGGGUCACAUAAGCUCCGGCCAGCAUUUCGCCGAGCAUAACCUGGGCAUCGGUUGUAAGAUGCAAAUUGUCGGGUUUGAGUGGAAGAGAUUUGGCAUCUACGCACAAGACAUUGGGCAGAUUUAUACUCAACUGAGCCUCUCUGACUAGAUCGAUCAGAUCUUCCUCCAGUCCCGACGCUAGAGCCACCUGAAUGAACGGCAGGGCAGGUUGACACAAGUCGGAUCUCACGUCGAAGAUCAACUUCUUCAUCUUGGCUUUGUACACGUCUGCAUGGCUCUUCGUGUCGGUGUCGCUCUCCCCUUGGUACCAUAGCACGCCCUUGAUUGCUCCGCCGGAUCCCGCCUUCUCCAGAGCUAAAACUGCCCGAGCCAACAUGUCGUUGUAGAGCUUCUCCCCUUUCUCCCAUUCCGCUAUCGCCGUCCCCCCGAUGGCGCAUGGCACUAAUCCGACGACGGUUUUGGCAGCGCAGACUGGGAGGUAGUUGUUGGCGAAGAUCAUGCCGGGACCGAUACCGCAGACCUUGGUGACGUCGAUGUCGGCGUGGAGUGGCACGUUCGCCUCCACCCAUUCGGACUCGGCGGAGAAACGAAGUAUGCGUGGAUUCGGUUGGCAUUCUGGUGGGACGAGCUUGUUCCACUCACCGUUGUAAACUCCCCCUCUCCCCGCCAUGUUGCUUUGGCCGGAGAGAAUGAAGAUGUGGGUCGUCUGAGUCGUCUCCAUCACUCCGCUAGAGCAGUUGGUGGUAGUUGCUCUAAUCUGAAGUAGAAAAUAAAAGCAGAUUGAGAAGACGAGGGUAAGUAGGAAUUUGGAAGAUUUUGGUAUCAUUUUUUUGUGUGGUAAAUUACGUUUUUUCACUAAUAAAGACUAAAAACUAAUAUGAUAUGAAUAAAAAAAAUUAAAAUAGAGUUAGAUUGUAAAAAAUAAAAAAGGUAUUGAAAUUUGAAAUAUUUAAUAACUUGAUUAAAGUUUCUGUGAUACCAAUAAUUAAAGUCAAAUAGAAAUAAUUAAAGACUAAUCUCGAUUAUCGAUAAAGAGGCUAAAGAUAAGAUUUAAUACAAACAUUCAUUCGUUUCAUUUUAUAACACAAACCUACAAAAGAAAUGAAUAAUUAAACUUAUUAUUUCCCAUACUUUUUUAACUUUGUAAGUAAAAAUCAAUAUGAUUUAAGUGGACAUCUUAAUUAAGCUUGUUUUCUAAUUACUGAAGAACUUCAUGCAGAUGGGAGGAUCAAUUUUUGCAAGAGCAAGUAGGGAAGAAGGUAAAGUCCAGAGACCAUCUCCACAUAUCAAACCUGAAGCAACUGCAGGUAUCAUCAAACUAGCCUUUUCCUUGUUAACAUAAUUCCAGGUGAAAACCACUAAGCUCCCUAUACACAUAUCAAUGGCGAAGCUUGCGCCUACUAAAAAUGGCACGGCCAUGACCAUCGGUAGUGGUACCCAUUUGCUGUAUUUUGCCGGAGAGAUGUCUCUGAUGAUAUUAGCAAACACUGCAAAUCCGAAGAAUCCAUAGCAGAGCUGUAAGCAAUGGUGAGGCAAAGCUGAAAAUCCUUCAACACCUAAGAUUGCCAUGUUUCUGUAUAUUAAAGCGUACGGAGCUUUGAAAUUCCCAUCUGGAUUUCCCACGUCGAAAGCCUUGUAGAAGAGGAAGAAGGUGAGAGGAGACACGAUGCAACCAAUGGCAGUUCCUACGGCUUGACUCAGAAGCAUCGAACGGGGUGAAGUUAGAGUGAGAUGCCCAGUUUUGAAAUCAUGCAUCAGAUCAGCAGAGAUGGAAACUACUGAUUUUAUCAAUCCACAUGCGACCAAACCAGCCACCACACCGGAGUUCCCCCCUGCCCACGAUGCUAUGAUGAAGAGUGAUACCUUUCCGUAAUUAUAAGCCAUGUUCAUGUCAGUGAGUCCGGCACCAUAAGCAUUGCAGAAGCCAAGUGCUGGUGCCAGAAGAUAUGCUAUGAUCACAUAGUACCACUUAACUUCAGGGAACAUCAAUGGGAUUGCGAUUACCGAUAUCACUGAAAACCCGGCAUACCCUGUGUAUGCUAACCAAAUGGGAAUGCUAUCUUUCAUGAAGACUUCGUUUCUUAGGGCCUCAUCGAGAUUUUCAUCUUUGUGGUCCAAUGGAAGUACUGUAAAGCGACAAAACAAGUAAGCAAAAAAAUCCACAACAACAAAAAGAAGGAAAACUUGAUUUUUCCGACAUAGAAUCGCUACCUACCGCUCCUUGUAUUCUUCUGUUUAGAUUGCGAGAUUAUACUUUUCGCAGUAAAGAAAGAUAUCUUGAUGAAAUUAUAGAGGCCAUCACCUAAGAUGAGAGAAAUCGAAAGGAACACCUGUAGAGUUGUGAUCCAAAAAUUCAGUAACAAGACGAAAAUUCAAGCAUUUUAAUCAAAAAAGAAAAAGAAAUUCGAAACAGACUUUGUAGCCUUGCAAACUCUUCAUACUUCCUUGUGCUAUAUCUGCAGGAUACCAAUAUCCUUUCAGUUUGCUUAUCAAAGGCCACAUUAUCCCCCACGAUAAAAUCGCUCCAAGAAGGAGUGAAAGGUUUACAAGAUGUGAACAGAUCAUCCCAGCGCCGACGUAAGUCAUGCUGAAGUCGAAGAAAAAUCUGAGGACACAGGCAACACCCAUAAUUUAAUACAAUAUGCCAUAGCAAAAACAAAACAAAAAUAAAGGCGAACCAUACGUCUGUUUCCAUGCUUGGAGGCCAAAUGUAGGGAAUUGGGAGAAACCACAAGAUUCUCCGCCCGAGAAGAACCAUUGGAAGAAACUCCAUAGGAAGCUCAUGGUGAAGAAUUUGGAGAAACCCUGUACUUGCUUUCUGGUGACAUGGAAAAAGGAUUAAAAUCUGCUGACCAUGCUCGAAAUUCAAAAGGGAGGGAAGAUCGAUCGAACCUGGCGUUUUGGUCGCCUUUCUUAGUAUGGAAACCAUUUAUAAGAACUGCAGUUGCAGUGCCACUAGGGUAAGUCAGCUUGUAGUCAAUUAUCAUGAUCUGCAGAAUGAUGAAACAUUUAGAACCUUAAUUCUAAUUCUAAUUCGGUGUUAAUGGGCAUACAUACCUUCCGCAAAGGGACCAGAACAAGAAGACCCACAAAACUGAUAAUAAAGAGGAAGGCAGUCAUCCAAGCAAUUCCAAGCUCCUUGUAGCUUCCCGGAGUAUUCCCCUCGGUGCCAAUCCCGGCCAAUUCGUAUGUCCUCUUGUUCAAUCCCAAUAAAUAGGAUCCAAACCCUCCUGUAAAAUGAACAAGCUUUAGUAAUUCAGUGACAACAAUUGAGAAAUUAAAUCACAACCCACCUCCUACAGCAAUGCUGUAACAUGCAACGGCACACGUUUGGACGACGGUGUUCUCCUGACGGGUAAAAGGGGUCGAAACCACACCAGCCUUGUGAAGAAUCUUCGUCCAGGUACGAAGAAAAACGAAGGCGAGAAGAGCGGCGGAGACAUUGAGUGUCGGUACUAAACCGGUGGUGAGAUUGAGUUUCAUGACGAUGAUGCUGUACAUAAUCCCUAUAAUCAAACUCGCCACCAAACCUCUGACCGUGACCUGUUUCGUCCAUGGCAGGAUUCUCCUCGGAUCUUCGUUCUCCAUCUCGUCAAUCUCGUCCACAAUAUCACCAUCUCCUCCUCCUCUGACCAUCUCGACAUCUCCACCCAUCUCGGGAUUCUUCUUCUUCCUCCUCUUCCUCUCCCCCUCUUUAUCGUCGUCGUUCUUCAUAGUACGACAAACACCCAAGAAGACAAAAAAUAUAUUAAUGCUUAAAAUCUUAAAUACUCAGAUUUUAAAAAAAAUCAUAAAAGAGAAAACCAUCUUACCUGACAAGCUGACCUCAACUUCUGACAGAAAUGAUUUUCGAUGCAACAUUGUCGAAUUGUAUUGGAUUUAUAGACGGUGGGAGCCGAGAUGAAAUGUGAAGUACGUCGCUUGUAGUACAGAUUAGGGUUCUAUAAAUAGCAUGGGAAAAGAAACCACUCAUCACAUCCACAUGAUACGAUCGUAUCGUCGUUUUAUUCGUAUAUCCGUAUCACUUUUAAUUUUGACCGAUCAAUGUCUCUUUGGAAAAAGACUUGACACUGUUAACCAUGUUUGCUAUUUUUUGAGCUAAUAUUCUUCCUCCAUUAAUCUCUACUGUGAUUGGAUACAAUGGCUGACAUAAUUGACAUUCCAUAUCAGUUGUCGUUUAGUUAUAUUAGUUCUAGUCAAAACCAAACAUUGUUUCAAACAUGCGCACUUUCUAGCUGGUCUGAUUUAGUUAGGAAGAAACAUGGUUCCCAUUCCGAGCUUCUUCUUCUUCUUGCUCAUCCGGUCGCCGGCGGUGUUUUCGGGUGGGUGAUGGGUUCGGCGGAGCAGAAAGGGAAGAGGGCGGUGGAUUUGAAGAUGGGGACGAUAUCUCGAGAUAAGGUUGAAGAUAACUACAACCAAUACUGGUCCUUCUUCCGGAAACCCAAGGAGAUCAAUAACUCCAACUCUGACGAGAAGAAGGUUCCGGCGUUCGUCGAUACUUUCUACAACCUCGUCACCGACAUCUACGAGUGGGGUUGGGGUCAGUCCUUCCAUUUCUCCCCUUCCUUCCCUGGUAUAUCUCAUAGGGAUUCCACCCGCCUUCACGAAGAGCACGUCGCAGAUCUCAUUGGUGCUAAAAAAGGUAUGAAGAUAAUCGAUGUUGGUUGCGGUGUUGGUGGACCGAUGCGGGCAAUCGCAGCCCAUUCCACCGCAAACGUCGUUGGAAUAACCAUCAACGAAUACCAGGUGGGUAGAGCCAAAGCGCAUAACAAAAAAGCCGGACUCGACUCCACCUGCGACGUCGUCUGCGGGAACUUCUUGGAAAUGCCGUUCGAGAACAACACCUUCGACGGCGCUUACUCCAUCGAAGCAACUUGCCAUGCUCCCAAAUUGGAAGAUGUUUACAGGGAGAUCUAUAGGAUUAUGAAGCCCGGAGCUUUGUACGUCUCCUACGAAUGGGUCACCACCGAUAAAUACCACGAUGACAAUCCGG
rnacentral:lncRNA from 1 species